ensembl:lncRNA
CAGGUCCCAGUCACAGCCAGAGUCGAAAGACUGGUGUCUCUCAUAUCAGGGCUCCUGAAACCAGUGCGGAAAUGACCAGUGACUUUCCUUCCGUUACUGCAGAGUCCUUCCUUCAAGAGCUUAAAAAGCUCACUGUUUGAGGAAAUACAUGAGGAUGAAACGGUACUUCAAGCCUCAACAGACUGGUCGACCCGAAAGAGCCUCAUAUCAGGGUGGUGGGAGAAAGAGAGACCCCGACUGGUCAACACCAUGGUGGCUGGACAACAUGCGGCAACUCGGAUCUGCCAACAUUGUGGAAAUGGUCCAGCCGUAAUCCGUUGUUGUGACUGCCGACCACACCCAUUCCUCUGUGGCCAGUGUGAUGUCAGGGUCCACCGAGGUCAAGUGUUCCACAACAGGGAUUCGAUGACACAUGCAUUCUUUCAUCCAUUGCCUCCCACAACUUGUGUUGUGGAGAGGGUUCUAACCCAGUGUGAGCGUCUUGUACCUUUGGAGAUGCCAGAGACAAUAUGCGGUUGUCUACGAGUAUCGUCCAGUGUCAUCGCAGGACAGUCCAUAGUUGUGGUUACAAUGAAUGGGCGAUAUGAUCUCAGAUUGCCUCAGAUUAGAUGCAAAGCAUGUGAAGCCACUUGGAGUCCUGGAGUGGAUGACCUGAUCCGUAAUGACUACUGGCCUGCCACUUCUCACUAUUCAACUGUGUAUGCAACAGAUGUCCUUUUUUCUUUUGAAGAGCUGAAGAUGGCAGCACCAGGGAUGUCUAGCCAAGCAUUUCUUAGAAUGCUGGAUCAACGCACUGUUCGAUUUGGCCGUGUAAGUAUUUGUGGUAAUAAUUGCGUAACUCCAUAA